GGCCGGAUGGCAGAGUGGUCAUGCAGCGGAUUGCAAAUCCGUGUACGCCGGUUCGAUUCCGACUUCGGCCUCCA
rnacentral:tRNA from 13 species